AGAGUUUGAUCCUGGCUCAGGAUGAACGCUGGCGGCGUGCUUAACACAUGCAAGUUGAACGAAGCUCUUUGGACAGAUUCCUUCGGGAUGAAGUACAUUGAGACUUAGUGGCGAACGGGUGAGUAACACGUGAGCAACCAACCCUUGACAGUGGAAUAACAACGGGAAACCGUUGCUAAUACCACAUAAAAUCUUUAUACGGCAUCGUAUUUAGAUCAAAGAUUUAUCGGUCAAGGACGGGCUCGCGUCCGAUUAGGUAGUUGGUAAGGUAACGGCUUACCAAGCCUACGAUCGGUAGCCGGACUGAGAGGUCGAUCGGCCACAUUGGGACUGAGAUACGGCCCAGACUCCUACGGGAGGCAGCAGUGGGGAAUAUUGGGCAAUGGACGCAAGUCUGACCCAGCGACGCCGCGUGAAGGACGAAGGCAUUCGUGUUGUAAACUUCUUUGGAGAGGGACGAAAUUGACGGUACCUCUCGAACAAGCCACGGCUAACUACGUGCCAGCAGCCGCGGUAAUACGUAGGUGGCAAGCGUUAUCCGGAAUUACUGGGUGUAAAGGGCGCGCAGGCGGUCUUGCAAGUCGGAUGUGAAAGAUCAAGGCUCAACCUUGACAGGUCAUCCGAAACUGUAAGACUUGAGUGUCAGAGGGGAAAGUGGAAUUCCUAGUGGAGCGGUAAAAUGCGCAGAUAUUAGGAGGAACACCGGUGGCGAAGGCGACUUUCUGGCUGACAACUGACGCUGAGGCGCGAAAGCGUGGGGAGCAAACAGGAUUAGAUACCCUGGUAGUCCACGCCGUAAACGAUGAUUACUAGGUGUAGGGGGUAUCGACUCCCUCUGUGCCACAGUUAACGCAGUAAGUAAUCCACCUGGGGAGUACGGCCGCAAGGUUAAAACUCAAAGGAAUUGACGGGGACCCGCACAAGCAGCGGAGCAUGUGGUUUAAUUCGAUGCAACGCGAAGAACCUUACCAGGGCUUGACAUCCCCCGGAUAGGAUUAGAGAUAAUCCCUUCUCUUCGGAGACUGGGGAGACAGGUGGUGCAUGGUUGUCGUCAGCUCGUGUCGUGAGAUGUUGGGUUAAGUCCCGCAACGAGCGCAACCCUUGCCUUUAGUUGCCAACAGUAAGGCUGUGCACUCUAAAGGGACUGCCGAUGAGAAAUCGGAGGAAGGUGGGGAUGACGUCAAAUCAUCAUGCCCUUUAUGUCCUGGGCUACACACGUGCUACAAUGGUCGGUACAGAGGGCAGCUACACAGCGAUGUGAUGCUAAUCCCUCAAAGCCGAUCCCAGUUCGGAUUGUAGGCUGCAACUCGCCUGCAUGAAGCCGGAGUUGCUAGUAAUCGUGGAUCAGAAUGCCACGGUGAAUGCGUUCCCGGGUCUUGUACACACCGCCCGUCACACCAUGGGAGUUAGCAAUACCCGAAGCCAGUGAGCCAACCGUAAGGAAGCAGCUGUCGAAGGUAGGGUUAAUGACUGGGGUGAAGUCGUAACAAGGUA
rnacentral:rRNA from 1 species